rnacentral:rRNA from 1 species
AGAGUUUGAUCCUGGCUCAGGAUGAACGCUAGCUACAGGCUUAACACAUGCAAGUCGAGGGGCAGCAUGACCUAGCAAUAGGUUGAUGGCGACCGGCGCACGGGUGAGUAACACGUAUCCAACCUACCGGUUAUUCCGGGAUAGCCUUUCGAAAGAAAGAUUAAUACCGGAUAGUAUAACGAGAAGGCAUCUUCUUGUUAUUAAAGAAUUUCGAUAACCGAUGGGGAUGCGUUCCAUUAGUUUGUUGGCGGGGUAACGGCCCACCAAGACAUCGAUGGAUAGGGGUUCUGAGAGGAAGGUCCCCCACAUUGGAACUGAGACACGGUCCAAACUCCUACGGGAGGCAGCAGUGAGGAAUAUUGGUCAAUGGACGAGAGUCUGAACCAGCCAAGUAGCGUGAAGGAUGACUGCCCUAUGGGUUGUAAACUUCUUUUAUAUGGGAAUAAAGUGAGCCACGUGUGGCUUUUUGUAUGUACCAUACGAAUAAGGAUCGGCUAACUCCGUGCCAGCAGCCGCGGUAAUACGGAGGAUCCGAGCGUUAUCCGGAUUUAUUGGGUUUAAAGGGAGCGUAGGCGGACGCUUAAGUCAGUUGUGAAAGUUUGCGGCUCAACCGUAAAAUUGCAGUUGAUACUGGGUGUCUUGAGUACAGUAGAGGCAGGCGGAAUUCGUGGUGUAGCGGUGAAAUGCUUAGAUAUCACGAAGAACUCCGAUUGCGAAGGCAGCUUGCUGGACUGUAACUGACGCUGAUGCUCGAAAGUGUGGGUAUCAAACAGGAUUAGAUACCCUGGUAGUCCACACAGUAAACGAUGAAUACUCGCUGUUUGCGAUAUACAGUAAGCGGCCAAGCGAAAGCGUUAAGUAUUCCACCUGGGGAGUACGCCGGCAACGGUGAAACUCAAAGGAAUUGACGGGGGCCC